CAUAGUUUAUUAGAUAGUUCCUUUCUACAUGGAUAACUGUGGUAAUUCUAGAGCUAAUACAUGCUACAAACAGUGACCUCGCAAGAGGAAGCUGCGCUUUUAUUAGAACAAAACCAAUCGCGCUGCAGCAAUGCAGUGCGUCACUUGGGGAAUCUGAAUAACUUGGCAGAUCGCAUGGUCUAGUACCGGCGACGCAUCUUUCAAAUGUCUGCCUUAUCAACUGUCGAUGGUAGGUUACAUGCCUACCAUGGUGAUAACGGGUAACAGAGAAUAAGGGUUUGACUCUGGAGAGGGAGCCUGACAGACGGCUACCACA
rnacentral:rRNA from 1 species